GUGUCAGCAGCCGCGGUAAUACGGAGGGUGCAAGCGUUGUCCGGAUUUAUUGGGUUUAAAGGGUGCGUAGGUGGGGUCUCAAGUCUGGUUUGAAAGUCGGCGGCUUAACCGUUGGAUGUGGCUGGAAACUGGGAUUCUUGAAUGCGCUGGCGGUAGCCGGAACGGGUCAUGUAGCGGUGAAAUGCAUAGAUAUGACCCAGAACACCGAUUGCGAAGGCAGGCUACUACGGCGUGAUUGACACUGAGGCACGAGAGCAUGGGUAGCGAACAGGAUUAGAAACCCUAGUAGUCC
rnacentral:rRNA from 1 species